UACGGAGGGUGCAAGCGUUAUCCGGAAUUACUGGGUUUAAAGGGUGCGUAGGCGGCUUAGUAAGUCAGGGGUGAAAGGCUACGGCUCAACCGUGGAAUUGCCUUUGAUACUGCUGAGCUUGAAUGAGGUUGAGGUGAGCAGAAUGUGGCAUGUAGCGGUGAAAUGCAUAGAUAUGCCAUAGAAUACCGAUUGCGAAGGCAGCUCACUGGACCUGGAUUGACGCUGAGGCACGAAAGCGUGGGGAGCGAACAGGAUUAGAAACCCCCGUAGUCC
rnacentral:rRNA from 1 species